UACAGAGGGGGCAAGCGUUGUUCGGAAUUACCGGGCGUAAAGGGCGCGUAGGCGGCCCGCUAAGUCGAACGUGAAAUCCCCGAGCUCAACUCGGGAACUGCGUCCGAUACUGGCGGGCUUGAAUCCGGGAGAGGGAUGCGGAAUUCCAGGUGUAGCGGUGAAAUGCGUAGAUAUCUGGAGGAACACCGGUGGCGAAGGCGGCAUCCUGGACCGGUAUUGACGCUGAGGCGCGAAAGCUAGGGGAGCAAACGGG
rnacentral:rRNA from 1 species